UUUAACAUCCCACGGGACUGGCAUUUCUUAGAAUACACCUAGGCCCAACCUAAUGUGAAUCCUCUUCAGCCUAAGGACUAGAAUCUUCCCAUCUCCUGAGAGGUGUGCCUGUCACCGGAGCCGCCUGGAGGCCAAUGGGACAGCCUUGCCAGAUGAAUGAAAGAAGACUGGCCCAGGGAAGGGAGACCAACAGACAACAGGAGCCCUGGGGGGUACCAGGAGCCCAGACCUCAGCAGCUUCUUGUGAGUCUGGCAAGAACAUUUAAGCAGCUCUUCACUAGUGUGGAACCCAAGAACAGCUGGGCAUCAAUGACCCCAGUCUCCCAGAUGAAUAACUCAGUGGAAAAGAAAAUACUGUGACUCCACACAGCUGUGGAAUUGGGCCCCAUUCUGAACUACUCUCAAGCUGACUUAGUAUUUAGUUGAAGGUUUUGUUAAUUCGUCAGUUCUCAUACACAUGUACAU